AUACUUUCUUCUCUCGCAUUGCUUAAAUUUACUGGCAUGAAAUAAACACCAAAUUUAAAAACCCUUUUUAAAAAACAUUAUUAUUAAAAACAACUCCCGCUAUUCAGGAUAACUUUAAAUAACCUAUGGGGGAACUUCAGGAUUUUUAUUUUUUCUGGCUCCAUCAAGGUUUUUUUUUUGUGAUAAAAUAUAUAAUGAAUAGUAUUAAUUGUUUUAUGUUUCACAGGAGAACAUCUCUGCCGAGGUGCCGCCGAACUAUACUAUACUAAACUAUACUAAACUCAGUUGUGUUUCUGAAUGUCUCCUUGUAAACGCGUCAACAUCGUCAUCAGCAUAAUCUUCCUCCUUCUCGCGCGAGUGUGACGUCAGACGCCGACAUAGUUAGCCACGUGCUUGAAAAGCCGUAGGUGCAGGGAGUUAGGCCUAAUGGCGGCUUGGCCUGGGCCGGAUGAACAACGGAGGAAGCGCGAAUUGGUGGCAUUUCUGUGCAUGGAGACCAGGUGAAAGUUGUCCAGUGUGAGUGAACCCUUGAAAGAUAAGACUGAUCAUCUGAAGAUCUUCAACACAGUAGGGAUCGUCGGUUUCUUUUUAUGCUUUGUGGCCGCUGUGCCCUGCUGAGUGUGUGUGUGUUUGAGUAUGUGUAUCAUAGCAGUACCAACAACAAAUGGCCACAUUUCUUUCUGGUUUUCCUUUCUUGAGUUUAUAGUCUGUGGUAUCUGGGAUUUGGAGCAAGAGCCAUAAAUGUGAGGAUGGUUAGGUAGUCAGUAAAGUAUUACAGGUGGCUGGCUCUCUGCUCAUGGUGGCUGUGACUCUGGUCCCUUUUUAAUGGUGUGGUUGUCAAGCUGCUGAGCAAGUAGGUAAAGGUUGGCUCUGGGCCUGAUUUCUGACCACGGUGGUUCAGUGUUUGUAGUUGAUGGAAUGUCUGCAGUGUGAUAUGGAGUGUGUGAAUGAGUGCAGUGAUUUUGAGCUCAGUAGUUUGUCGUUAGUGUGUGUGUGUGUGAAGCUGCUAUGUGUUUUUUUUGUGCAGUAACAAUUAUUACUUUCUAGGUCCUGUCGACAAAGGGUGAGUCCAAAACAUUUAUUUAUUCCUCUCCGGAUGGCUAUCCUGUCGGCCUCCGUCUGUCCCUGUCCUUAGAUUUCUAGAGUCAGGAACAUAGAAAAUGUUAUUAACAAUUGUAUAUUUGUCAUUUCUCUAAUGUUAUUAUAAUUAUAAUUGAACUAUGGCUGAACAUGUGGUGCAAAAUAAUUGUUCUGGGCGGCUGGGAGGUGGGGUUUCUUUUCAGCUUUUCCUGGAUGAGGAGGACCAAUGUGCAGAAAUGGUAAAUUGCGUUUAGUUGCGCGGUUAAAAUGUGACACAAGGUAAGUGACGCUAGGUCUGUUCUUUUCCAGCCGCUGUGCUAACCUUACGCCAUGACCUUUUUUUUCCAGCCGCUGUGCUGAUAUGUAGGUCUGUCCUGUCUGCUUUGACUUUUUAUGAAAAUCUUGCGUCUAAAAUGGCAAGUUGUCGGUCAAAGUUGCGUAGACAUAAUAGCCACUGUUCAGUCUAAAAUAUGUAAAACUAAAAUGUCAUACCAUGUGUAUGACAAUGUUGAGAACAGUAGCAGCAGACUUUCUCUAUUCUGUACCAUCUAUCUACUCUGGAAGUGUGUGUGUGUGUGUGGGACCAGAUGUUGAAACAUGGCUAGACUGAUAUAUUUGUCCUCUCUGAGGACAUGGUUAGCUUAGUUUGAACUGUGAGGAUGUCUUGUUUUUGGCCACAGUGUCAAAAUGGUGACAUCAUGUAGUUGGUAGAGUGCCAUUGUGGUGCUUCCUCUUGGCUGCAAGGCCUACCUUUUCCUGUCCUUUCUUAGUGUGGCCUUUGUAGAACAUUUUUACCUUAGUUCACUGGCAGUUACAUAUUUAUAAAAUCCGAAACAAUUUUGGAUCUCCGAUUUGCGUUUCGUUUCCACGUUUUGGAAGUUGCGGUCGUUUUCCACAAUCCUGGACGUUGUGAUCGUUUCAACAAUUUUGAUGGCCCGUUUGAAGCCCUCUUGUCACAAUUUCGGAUGCCAUCGUUUCCCGGCUGUCCUGUUGCUGUCCUGUUGCUGUCCAGAGUGACCUGACCUGAAUAUAAGACACAACUAUCAACACGGACGUCCAGCACUCUGAAAGUCAUGUAUAUUCCUUGCCUUUGUAACUAUUGUCAAUGUAUAUCUUUGUAUUGUUUACCCAUGUA